CUCUGAAAGACCCACAACCACCAAUGUCCGCCGCAGCCACCAGGUCCGUCUUCCGCUCCACGUCCGCCGCCCGAAGCGCGGGGGCGAGACUUGCCGGCGGAGCUAGCCCAAGGCGGCGAGGUCCCCCUUUCGCAUAACGACGCAGAAACCACUCUCUUCUCGCAUUUUCAGAGAUGAGGUUCGUCUGCGUCGAUUCGUUGCUUCCGUUUCACACUGCCCCUGCCUCUGCAUUGCCCACUUCAAUGCUCUCCGCCACUCCUCGCUGCUACGGUUGGACUCCUGAAGGUCAAGAGGCGAAGACUGUGCAACCGGUUUUGGAAACCCACUGUGAGUAACAUUUCUGUAAAGAUAUGUUAGUAUGAUCUAUGUUUAAAAGUGCUACAUUAUGCUAUGGUUUUGAAUGAUAAAUGUUUUCUGUAAACGAAUGUCCAGUU